AUAUAAGUCGGUAAUUAGCCUCCAUUAAAAUGGUAGGCAGCAUGCGAGGGGGGGUUGGAAAAGGAGAAGGGUAGGUUGAGGCAGGGAAGCAUGCAGGGUGGUCUAAGGGUUUGGUUGUUGAAGUCCGUAAAUCUAACCCUCAUGCGCCUUCACGAGAAAAUCAUAACACAUUUCACCUCCAAUUUUCCUGGGGUUUCUUCUUUUUCUAUUUAUAACCGGUUGCAACUCAAAAUAUAAUCUUUGGCUGCUUUCUGAUUUUUGUAUCUUACCAUCUUUCCAUGCAUUUUCCCCUCCCACUAGGAAAAUAGUUGUAACUUGGAAUUGAUAGGAGAGGUCCGAUGCUUAUCAGUACAGCUCCGACGAUCGGCGGAAACAGCAUUGAUAGAAAGCUUCAUUUCUCCAGAUAUGAGUUCGGUUUCCCACAUGUCGCCAUGACACAAGUUCUGAGAAGAUUCUGCGGCUGCUGCCGCCGGUGCCACCAAAUUAUUAGGUUGCUGCUCUUCUGGGUGUUGAUUAACAAGCAAGUUUUCAUUAAUCAAUGAAUCUAGAAACGAGGAGAACAUAUCUUCAUUGCAAUUUUCCAUAUGAUCCCCUUCGUUUCCAUGGCUGCUUGGUUCCGCCAUGAUAAGAGUUGCACUUUCAGUGUUCUUCCAUUUCUCCAUGCUCUUAUCAACCUGUUGGUUUUGAGAUUGCUGCUGAUACCCAUGUUCCAGGCGAUGAAGGCGAAGAAUGAGAUCUUCUUCAUCGGGAGCAAUACGACCUCGUUUAACAGAGGGUCGGAGAUAAUUCAUCCACCGGAGACGACAACUCUUACCGCAUCGAAGCAAACCAGCUCGUUUAGGCAAAGUCCGCCAUCGUCCUUCGCCUUCCCUUUUGAUGUAGUUGGCUAACACUUCAUCUUCUUCGGGCGUCCAUGGUCCUCUCUUUAUCCCAACUUUGCUGCAACAAGGAGUACCCUUGCUGCUUGUUGAAUUACCGACUAAACUUGGGUUCUUCAUGAUUUCUUCAACUAU